GAACGCUGGCGGCAUGCCUUACACAUGCAAGUCGAACGGCAGCACGGAGCAAUCCUGGUGGCGAGUGGCGAACGGGUGAGUAAUAUAUCGGAACGUGCCCAGUCGUGGGGGAUAACGUAGCGAAAGCUACGCUAAUACCGCAUACGAUCUAUGGAUGAAAGCGGGGAUCGCAAGACCUCGCGCGAUUGGAGCGGCCGAUAUCAGAUUAGGUAGUUGGUGAGGUAAAGGCUCACCAAGCCGACGAUCUGUAGCUGGUCUGAGAGGACGACCAGCCACACUGGGACUGAGACACGGCCCAGACUCCUACGGGAGGCAGCAGUGGGGAAUUUUGGACAAUGGGCGCAAGCCUGAUCCAGCAAUGCCGCGUGCAGGAUGAAGGCCUCGGGUUGUAAACUGCUUUGUACGGAACGAAACGGUGAGCUCUAAUACAGUUUGCUAAUGACGGUACCGUAAGAAUAAGCACCGGCUAACUACGUG
rnacentral:rRNA from 1 species